rnacentral:lncRNA from 1 species
ACCCGUUAUGAUCAUUUCUUCCGUUGUAGGGCGUCCUCCACGACCAGAUUUUCCCUGUUGAACUCCCGGGAGUGGGGGUAGACGUCGCUGAUUCAUCUGUCGUAUAGGACUAGACAUCAUUCUAGUCAAAUGAAACACUUUUAACGUAACAUUUUUCUACGCUUCAUACCCUAUACAUCCAAUACCAUAACAGUAAAACGUUAUAAUUGAAGAUUUGACUUUUAGUGCAGCCCUAUGUAUAUUACCGACACAACGUUUAAUGUAUUUAAAUCCCUUUCAACUGACUGUGCCAAUUUCCAUAUUUAUAUAAAGAUUAGCAGUGGUAAAAAUUUCGGUUCGAUUAAUUCGACGUUGAUAUAAGAUUCUAUCAAUCGCUUCGCAUAUUAAACUAAAAACAUUGCAACAAAAAAUAAAUCUGUCUCUUGUGACUU